rnacentral:rRNA from 1 species
UACGAGGGGUGCAAGCGUUACUCGGAAUUACUGGGCGUAAAGCGUGCGUAGGUGGUUGUUUAAGUCUGCUGUGAAAGCCCUGGGCUCAACCUGGGAAUUGCAGUGGAUACUGGGCGACUAGAGUGUGGUAGAGGAUAGUGGAAUUUCCGGUGUAGCAGUGAAAUGCGUAGAGAUCGGGAGGAACAUCUGUGGCGAAGGCGACUAUCUGGGCCAACACUGACACUGAGGCACGAAAGCGUGGGGAGCAAACAGG